rnacentral:rRNA from 1 species
UGGGGAAUUUGGACAAUGGGCGAAGCCUGAUCCAGCAAUGCCGCGUGUGUGAAGAAGGCCUUCGGGUUGUAAAGCACUUUUGUCCGGAAAGAAAUCCUUGGCUCUAAUACAGUCGGGGGAUGACGGUACCGGAAGAAUAAGCACCGGCUAACUACGUGCCAGCAGCCGCGGUAAUACGUAGGGUGCAAGCGUUAAUCGGAAUUACUGGGCGUAAAGCGUGCGCAGGCGGUUUGCUAAGACCGAUGUGAAAUCCCCGGGCUCAACCUGGGAACUGCAUUGGUGACUGGCAGGCUAGAGUAUGGCAGAGGGGGGUAGAAUUCCACGUGUAGCAGUGAAAUGCGUAGAGAUGUGGAGGAAUACCGAUGGCGAAGGCAGCCCCCUGGGCCAAUACUGACGCUCAUGCACGAAAGCGUGGGGAGCAAAACAGGAUUAGAUACCCUGGUAGUCCACGCCCUAAACGAUGUCAACUAGUUGUUGGGGAUUCA